UCUCCGUAGGUGAACCUGCGGAGGGAUCAUUACCGAGCUCAUGCCCUUACGGGUAGAUCUCCCACCCUGUGUUAUUAUUACCUUUGUUGCUUUGGCGGGCCGCCAGGCUCCGGUCAGGCUAUCGGCUUCGGCUGGUAAGCGCCCGCCAGAGGACCCUAUAUCCUGAUUAUUAGUGUCGUCUGAGUACUAUAUAAUAGUUAAAACUUUCAACAACGGAUCUCUUGGUUCUGACAUCGAUGAAGAACGCAGC
rnacentral:misc_RNA from 1 species